UGUUGAAAUAUACCAAAAAUCUACUAAUAAAUAUUGCCUACUAGAAUUUUUUAAAAUAUAUCAAAAAUCUACCAAAAAAGUAGAAAUCUACUAAAUUUGGCAACGCCGCACUAACAGCGCUGGUGAAAACCGUCAAAUCCCCUCUCCUCUACCCAUGGCGCGCCAUUUGAAUUUAUCAGAUAAAUGCACAAAACUGCCACUAACAGCGCUGGCGAAAGCUGUCAAAUCCCCUCUACCCAUCGGCUCAUGGCGAAUUCGCACACUUUAACCAACGUUGCCAAGUCGCUAAAAUCUCGAACUUUGACACCAAUUUGACAAUUGAAAGAUGAUCGAGGCCAAUCGAGCUGUGAUCGAGGGUAAAUUGUAAACAUAAAUAAAUCUUAAAGAAUAUAAAAUAAACCUUCUAUUUUAUAUUCAUAUAUUCUAAGAAAUAAAUCAAAUGGAUAAAUCAACGGGAACAAUGGAUAAAAGCCAAAAAAAGGAGAACAGAUCUAAAAUUAAAAUAUGAAAGAGUAUGCAGUGAAUAUUGUAUAAGUGGAAAGCCAGCCACUUUAGAGGAUAUAAAUAAUGAAGAUCAGAAGAUUGGAUUCCAAACCAAAACAUAGUGUACCAAAGCCAGGCAAUAAAAAGAAAUGGUGAUCUAGAACGCAAGGAAAUAGCUGAUAAAAGAAAUAAAAGUGAAGAAAAUAAUGCUGAGACUUCUCUCGACCAUGAACAAACACCACUAACACCAGAUAUUGUAAAUGUAUAAAAAGGAGAAACUGCUGGAACUUAACACAAAGGGGUUUGACUAGUGAAGAUUUGGAUAAACAAAAGGAAUUACUUUGGGCUAUAGCUACAUGCAGGUUUAUUUCCUUGUGGCUUCCUAUGUAUAUUCUUAUGAACUAUACACUUUGAUAUGUUUUUAGUCUCAUGAAGAUUUUAUAAUUUAUUAUUUUAUGUAUAUUGUUAUAUUUAUGAUGAAUAAACAUUAUUAUUAUUAUUAUUACAGUAAUUUCCGUAAUAAAGUUUAAAUAAAUUAACUGUAAUCAAUAAACCGUUUUUAAUGUUAAUAAAUUAUCAAUAAUGA